rnacentral:rRNA from 1 species
UACGGGGGGAGCAAGCGUUGUUCGGAUUUACUGGGCGUAAAGGGCGCGUAGGCGGCCAGCACAGGUCAGUGGGGAAAUCUCCGAGCUUAACUCGGAAAGGUCAACUGAUACUGUGCGGCUAGAGUGCGGAAGGGGCAACUGGAAUUCUUGGUGUAGCGGUGAAAUGCGUAGAUAUCAAGAGGAACACCUGCGGCGAAGGCGGGUUGCUGGGCCGACACUGACGCUGAUGCGCGAAAGCCAGGGGAGCGAACGGG